CGCACAUUGCGCCCUCUGGUAUUCCGGGGGGCAUGCCUGUUCGAGCGUCAUUUACACCCCUCAAGCCUAGCUUGGUAUUGGGAGCUGCCCCCCGGGGGCAAUCCCGAAAUGCAGCGGCGGUGCGGCCGGAUUUCCUAGCGCAGUGACUUUCAUCAUCGCUACAAGGAAUCCGCGCCUCCCCGGCCGGACAACAACCAAAUUUUACCACGAUUGACCUCGGAUCAGGUAGGGAUACCCGCUGAACUUAA
rnacentral:misc_RNA from 1 species